rnacentral:lncRNA from 10 species
GUUUCACCAUGUUAGCCAGGAUGGUCUUGAUUUUCUGACCUUGUAAUCCGGCUGCCUCAGCCUCCCAAAGUGCUGGGAUUACAAGCGUGAGCCACUGCGCCCGGCCUAGUUGAGGAGUAAAUGGACUGGAUUAAAGUUAAACCAUAACCCCAAAUUCAGGAACUUCUGCGCACAGUGCUUGCUUAUCUGAUUAUGUGCUUGCUUAGAAAUUCCAGAGACCAAUUUUGAAACGAAACAGGUAAAGAAACCAAGUGGCAGAAUCCUCCCGCUUAGAAGGAGUACGAAUAGUUAGCUCACCACUCUCCGGCCCAAGUCAGGAUGACACCAACCCAACAGGCAAUUACUCAAGAUAAACAUCGGAACUAGACAUGCAGACCUGCGCCUUCCUGCACCACUACCAUAUAUUUCCCAUACCUUUUCCUGCCAAAACCCCUUCACUCAGCCCAAAAGGCAGAGAUGGCUUCUUUGAGGCAGAAGCCCGGCCAUCUCCCAUCUGCUAGCAUUUGAUCAAUAAAGUUGCCUUCCUU